AGAGUUUAGAGGGCUCAGAAGACAGGAAGAUAAGGGAAAGUUUGGAACUUCUCAGAGACUGGUUCAAUGGUUGUGACCAAAAUACUGGUACCCAAGACUGGGUAAUUUGUAAAAAAAAGAGGUUUAAUUGACUCACCAUUCAGCAUGGCUGGGGAGGCCUCCGAAACUUACAAUCAUGGUGGAAGGGGAAGCAAACACGUCCUUCAUCACAUGGUGGCAGGAAGGAGAAUGAGAAUUCAGCAAAGGGGGAAGCUCCUUAUACAACCAUGAGACCUUGUGAGCACUAACUCACUAUUAUGAGAACAGGAUGGGGGAAACUGCCCCCAUGAUUCAAUUAUCUCCAGGUUCCUCCCAUGACACGUGGGAACUAAAAUUCAAGAUGAGAGUUAGGUGAGGACAUAGCCAAACUGUAUCAUUCCACCCCUCACCCCUCCUAAAUCUCAUGUCCUCACAUUUCAAAACCGAAUCAUGCCCUUCCAAUAGUCCCCCAAAGUCUUAACCCAUUUCAGAGUUAACUCAAAAGUCCGAGUCCAAAGUGUCAUCUGAGACAACACGAGUAAGUCCCUUUUGCCUAUGAGCCUGUAAAAUCAAAAGGAAGUUAGUUACUUCCUAGAUAGAAUGUGGGUACAGGCAUUGAGUAAAUACACCCAUUCCAAGUGGGAGAAGUUGGCCAAAACAAAGGGGUUACAGGCCCCAUGCAAGUCUGAAAUCCAAUAGGGCAGUCAUUAAACCUUAAAGUUCCAAAAUAAUCUCCUUUGACUUCAUGUCUCAUAUUCAGGUCAGGGUGAUGCAAGAGGUGGGCUCCCACAGCCUUGGGAAGGUCUGCCCCUGUGGUUUUGCAGGGUAAAGCCCCCCUCCUGGCUGCUUUCAUGGGCUGGCAUUGAGUGUGCAAGCUGCUGGUGGAUCUGCCAUUCUGGGAUCUGGAGGACUGUGGCCCUCUCCACACAGCUUCAUUAGGGAGUGUCCUGGGGGGACCCUGUGUGGGGUCUCUGGCCCCACAUUUCCCUUCUGCACUGCCCUAGCAAAGGUUUUCCCUGAGAACUCCACCCCUGCAGCAAACUUCUACCUGGACAUCCAGGCAUUUCCAUACAUCUUCUGAAAUCUAGGUGGAGGUUCCCAAACCUCAAUUCUUGACUUCUGUGCACCCCCAGGCCCAACACCAUAUGUAUGCCACCAAGACUUGGGGCUUGCACCCUCUGAAGCAAUGGCCUGAGCUCCACAUUAGCCCCGUGUAGCCAUGGCCAAGACACACGGCACCAAGUCCCUAGACUGCACAUAGCAUCAAGGCCCUAGGCCUGGCCCACAAAACCGUUUUUUUCUUCUAGUCCUCUGAGCCUGUGAUGGGAGAGCCUGCAGUGAAGACCUCUUACAUGCCCUGGAGACAUUUUCCCCGUUUCCUUGGUGAUUAACAUUUGGCUCCUCGUUACUUAUGCAUAUUUCUGUAGCCAGCUUGAAUUUCUCCUCAGAAAGUGGGUUUUUCUUUUUUAUUGCAUUGUCAGGCUGCAAAUUUUCUGAACUUUUAUGCUCUGCUUCCCUUUUAAACGUAAGUUCCAAUUCCAAACCAUAUCUUCAUGAAUACAUAAAACUGAAUGCUUUUAACAGCACCCGAGUUACCUUUUGAAUGCUUUGCUUCUUGGAAAUUCCUUCCACCAGAUGCCCUAAAUCAUCUCUCUCAAGUUCAAAGUUCCACAGAUCUCUAGGGCAGGGGCAAAAUGCUGCCAGUCUCUUUGCUAAAACAUAGCAAGAGUCACUUUUACUCCAGUUCCCAACAAAUUCCUCAUCUCUUUCUGAGACCACUUCAGCCUGGACUUCAUUGUCCAUAUCACUAUAGCAUUUUGAUCAAAGCCAUUCAACAAGCCUCCAGGCAAUUCCAAACUUUCCCACAUCUUCCUGUCUUCUUCUGAACCCUCCACACUGUCCCAACUUCUGCCUGUUACCCAGUUCCAAACUCGCUUCCACAUUUUUGGAUAUCUUUACAGUAGUGCCCCACUCUCAGGUACCAAUUUACUGUAUUAGUCUGUUUUCAUGCUGCUAAUAAAGACAUAUCUGAGACUGGAUAAUCUAUAAAGGAAGGAGGUUUAAUUGACUCACAGUUCUGUAUGGCUAGGGAAGCCUCAGGAAACUUACAAUUAUGGCAGAAGGGGAAGAAAACAUGUCCUUCUUCACAUGGCAGCAGGAAGGAGAAUGAGAAUCCAGCAAAGGGGGAAGCCCCUAUUAAAACCAUCAGAUCUUGUAAAACUUACUAUCAUGAGAACAGAAUGGGGAAAACCACCCCCAUGAUUUAAUUAUCUCCACCUGGUCCCUCCCACAAUAUGUAGGGAUUAUGGGAACUACACUUCAAGAUGAGAUUUGGGUGAAGACAGCCAAACCAUAUCAGUCUCAGAUGGAAAUAAGGAAUUUAUUGGGAACUGGAGUAGAGGUCACCCAUGUUACACCCUAGCAAAGAACUUGGCUGUAUUAUGUUCAUGUCAUAGGGAUCUGUGGAAGUUUGAAGUUAAGAGUGAUAACUUAGGGUAUGAAGUGAAUGACAUUUCUAAGCAGCAAUUGUUUAAGAUAUGGCCUGGCUGCUUUUAACAGCCUAUGAUCAGAUGUGGGAGCAAAAUUACUUAAAGUUGGAACUUAUAUUUAAAAGGGAAACAGAGUGUGAAAGUUUGAAAAUUUUGCAGCCUGGACAUAUGGCAGAGAAAGAAUCCAAGCAGAUUGUGGAGCAAGCACUUGCUAGAGAGAUCAGCAUAGAUAAAAGGGAGUCAAGUGCUAAUAUCCAAAACAAUGGGGAAAAAAGACCUUGAAGGCAUUUCAGGAAUCUCUGAGACAGCCUCUCCUACCACAGGUUCAGAGGCCUAGGAAGAAAGAAUGGUUUCGUGGGCCAGUCCCAGAGUACUGCUGCCCUGUGCAGCUUUGUGACAGUGCUCCCUGCUUCCUGGGUGCUCCAGCUCCAGCCUUGGCUCAAAGGACCCCAAGUACUGCUCAUGCUGUUGCUCUGGAGAGUGCAAGCUGCCAUAAGCCUUGGUGGCCUCCAUGUUUUGUUAAGUCUGUGAGCAUAUGGAUUGCAAGAGUGAAGGAGACUUGGCAGCUUCCCCCUAGAUUUCAGGGGAUAUAUGAGAAAGUCUGGGUGCCUAGGCAGAAGCCUGCUGCAGAGGUGGAGCCCUCAUGGAGAACCUCUACUAGGGUAGUGAGGAGGGUAAAUGUAGGGUUGGAACCCCUACACAGAGUCGCUACCAGGGCACUGCCCACCAGAUACCAAAAUGAUAGAUCCAUCAGCAGCUUGCACCCUGCUUCUGGAAAAGCCACAGACACUCAACUGCAACCUGUGGGAGCAGCUGUGAGGGCUGUACCUUGCAAAGCCACAGGGGCAGAGCUGCCCAAGACCUUGGGAGCCAAUCUUUUGCAUCAGUAUGGGCUGGAUAUGGGACAUGGAGUCAAAGGAGAUUAUUUUGGAGCUUUAAGAGUUGAUGACUCCUCUGCUGAGUUUCAGACUUGUUUGGGAACUAUUACCCCUUUCUUUUGGCCAAUUUCUCCCUUUUGGAAUGGUAAUGUUUACCCAAUGCCUGUACUACCAUUGUAUCUUGGGAUUAGAUAACCCGCUUUGAUUUUACAGGGUCAUAGGUGGAAGGAGAUGAGUCUCAGUUGAGAUUUCGAACUUUGGGUUUGAUGCUGGAAUGAGUUAAGAGUUUUGGGCACUAUUGGGAGCAGAUGAUUAUAUUUUGCAAUGUGAGAAGGAUAUUAGAUUUGAGGGGCCGGAGUGGAAAGAUACAGCUUUCAUAUUUGUCCCAAUCACAUCUCAUAUUGAAAUUUAAUUGCCAAUGUUGUAGGUGGGGCCUGGUGGGAAGUGUUUGGGUCAUGAGUGCAGAUCUUUCAUGAAUAACUUGGUGCUUUCCUUGAGACAGUGAGUUCUCAUGAAAUCUGGUUGUUUAAAGAGUGUGACACUUCUCCUUCUUUCUUGCUCUCACUCUCACCAAUAAUAUGUCUGCUUCUGCUUUACAUUCUGCCAUGAUUGUAAAGGUUCUGAGGCUUUCGCCAGAAGCAGAUGCUGGAGCCAUGCUGGGACACUCUGCAGAACUCUGAGCCAAGUGAACCUCUUUUGUUUAUAAAUUACCUAGUCUCAGGUAUUUCUUUAUAGCAAUGUAAGAACAGCCUAACACAGAUGCCUUUUAUUUCGUUCUUUUGCCUGGUUGCUCUGGCUGUGACAUCUAAUACUAUGUUAAAUAAAAGUGGUGGAAGUUGGCAUCCUUGUCUUACUUAAGUUCUUAGGUGAAUUGCUUUCAACUUUUCCAC
rnacentral:lncRNA from 1 species